rnacentral:misc_RNA from 1 species
AACCUUAUGGACCUGCGGGCGUAUACCUGCGGAGGGAUCAUUACCGAGUUUACAACUCCCAAACCCCUGUGAACAUACCUAUACGUUGCCUCGGCGGAUCAGCCCGCGCCCCGUAAAAAGGGACGGCCCGCCCGAGGACCCCUAAACUCUGUUUUUAGUGGAACUUCUGAGUAAAACAAACAAAUAAAUCAAAACUUUUAACAAUGGAUCU